UACGUAGGGACCGAGCGUUGUCCGGAAUCAUUGGGCGUAAAGAGCGUGUAGGCGGCCAGGUAGGUCUGCUGUGAAAACUCGAGGCUCAACCUCGAGAUGUCGGCGGAAACCAUCUGGCUAGAGUCCGGAAGAGGAGAGUGGAAUUCCUGGUGUAGCGGUGAAAUGCGCAGAUAUCAGGAAGAACACCCGUGGCGAAGGCGGCUCUCUGGGACGGUACUGACGCUGAGACGCGAAAGCGUGGGGAGCGAACAGG
rnacentral:rRNA from 1 species